GACGAACGCUGGCGGCGUGCCUAAUACAUGCAAGUAGAACGCUGAAGAGAGGAGCUUGCUCUUCUUGGAUGAGUUGCGAACGGGUGAGUAACGCGUAGGUAACCUGCCUUGUAGCGGGGGAUAACUAUUGGAAACGAUAGCUAAUACCGCAUAACAAUGGAUGACACAUGUCAUUUACUUGAAAGGGGCAAUUGCUCCACUACAAGAUGGACCUGCGUUGUAUUAGCUAGUAGGUGAGGUAAUGGCUCACCUAGGCGACGAUACAUAGCCGACCUGAGAGGGUGAUCGGCCACACUGGGACUGAGACACGGCCCAGACUCCUACGGGAGGCAGCAGUAGGGAAUCUUCGGCAAUGGGGGCAACCCUGACCGAGCAACGCCGCGUGAGUGAAGAAGGUUUUCGGAUCGUAAAGCUCUGUUGUAAGUCAAGAACGGGUGUGAGAGUGGAAAGUUCACACUGUGACGGUAGCUUACCAGAAAGGGACGGCUAACUACGUG
rnacentral:rRNA from 1 species